rnacentral:rRNA from 1 species
AUGCGGGUGAUUGCAUAUGGCGUUCCGGCUGACUAUGCCGAUGAGUAUCUUUGCAUUGGUGAAGAUAGAACAAUUGAGUCUGUGCGUAGAUUUGCGAAAGUGAUCGUCCGUGUCUUUGGUCCCGAGUAUCUUCGGGCACCAAAUGAAGAUGACACAAAGAAAUUGAUGUCAGCUAAUGAGAGGAGAGGUUGGCCUGGGAUGCUAGGUAGCAUUGAUUAUGGUAUAUUUGCGGCCUGA